rnacentral:rRNA from 1 species
UACGUAGGGGGCUAGCGUUGUCCGGAUUUAUUGGGCGUAAAGAGCGUGUAGGCGGCCAGGUAGGUCUGCUGUGAAAACUCGAGGCUCAACCUCGAGACGUCGGCGGAAACCAUCUGGCUAGAGUCCGGAAGAGGAGAGUGGAAUUCCUGGUGUAGCGGUGAAAUGCGCAGAUAUGACAUAGAACACCAAUUGCGAAGGCAGCUCGCUACGCGGUUAUUGACACUGAGGCACGAAAGCGUGGGGAUCAAACAGG